AAUCAACGCUGGCGGCGUGCCUAACACAUGCAAGUCGAACGCGAAAGGGGCUUCGGCCCUGAGUAGAGUGGCGAACGGGUGAGUAACACGUGGGUGAUCUACCUCUGAGUGGGGGAUAACGUUCCGAAAGGAACGCUAAUACCGCAUGACGUUCCGGGUUUGGAGACCUGGAAACCAAAGCCGGGGACCGCAAGGCCUGGUGCUUGGAGAGGAGCCCGCGCCUGAUUAGCUAGUUGGUGAGGUAAGGCUCACCAAGGCAACGAUCAGUAGCCGGCCUGAGAGGGCGGACGGCCACACUGGGACUGAGACACGGCCAGACUCCUACGGGAGGCAGCAGUGGGGAAUUGUUCGCAAUGGGCGCAAGCCUGACGCAGCGACGCCGCGUGAGGGAUGACGGCU
rnacentral:rRNA from 1 species